UUGCGGUCUUCCGGUUAAAUUAAGGAAAUAACUUUCACAUUAUUCAAAUUGAAGCCUCUGAGCACGAACUUAUUGUCAUUAAAAUGCAGCUAAAUAUUUUCUAACUGAAGUCAACAAGUCUCCAUUUUCUCACCAUUCGCUGAAAUUCUGCACGGUCAUUUGUUACAAUUGUUGAAAAAUCCAAUAAUGAAUAUAUGCAAUAUUCAUCUUACCUUUGCAACAGCAUCUGUGGUUUUGCUUGGAUCAUCGCUCGCUCAAUUUGGAAAUAGCGCGAUUUGUUAUUUCGCGAGCAAUAUUGUCCCAAACUGAUAGCCGUCGGUUAACCCGCGGCCGCAGACUAGCUGGGUUAUGCAUCAGUCAUUUACACGGAAAUCGGAAUUCGAGCCUCUUUGAAAAAUGAUAUCAUCCACAUCACUGAGAUUUGCGCCACUCCAUCCAUUGCUGAAAUUCCCAAUCGACAGACAAGUGGUAGAUUACAAAAAAAGUCUUGUUUACUUUGUGUGCGUGUGUGUGUGCGUGUGUAUGUGUGUGUGUGUGUGUGUGAGCAUAUAACGAUGUAUGUGUUUGCACCUCCAAUAGUAACUAUCAAAGUUUCAAAAAAAACCGAUAGAAGCCCCGAGGAGGACACAGGACCGACCCAAGGGGGUCAAAAUUGGAUCGUUAUUGCAGUAGCAUAGCGACUUUCUUGCUCAAAUCAGGAAGAUUCCCUCGUCCUGUACACCAUAAAAUGAAGAGGACAAGAGCGAGUAUAAAAAGACGUAAAUCUCUUCUGCGUAAAUGGCUGGACUUACAUCCACUAUCUGGUGUUAGAAGAAUAUUUACCCUUCUUUCCGACAAAAAACUUCAUUGUCAGGCAGAGAGCGUGUGCGAUCUCGAUGCGUCUCCGUCUAGUGAGGUAGCGGUUGAAGUGAAACUCCUUUUCCAGCUCCAGGGUCUGAUACCGAGUGUAAGUCUGACGUCCCCUCUUCCUGUCUGAAGCUGCACCAUGAUCAAGGAGCGGAAUCGAAACAAACGGCGAAACAGUGAGGAAGAAAAUGAAAUUACCAACAAUGCAGGAACAGCAUUCUAGCUAAACAGUCGGCAUUGCUAUUUCCUGUACUCUACUUCUGCCACUAAUUUCAGCGUAGUGUCCCGAAUAUUCUCCGUGACAGAUACAAUAAAUUACUGUCGGAAACUAACUGAUUACAAUCAAUGUAAAGUUUGUAAUAAUGCUUUAUAAAGUAGACGGCGAUGACUCUAUAUAGGGAAGUAUUUAAACUGUUUACACGGCACUUACAGGUCUGAGACAACUGUCAUGUUAUGAAACUCAGAAGCAUGUUGACUUUAAUUUUUUUAUUCAACAAUUAUUUAAAACAAGGAAGCAUGUAUCAGCUUAACAGCUAUAAUCUAUUGAUGGAUGAUCAUUGUCCUACAUCCUUACCGCACUCUGCAUAUGGUGAAUUAAUAUUAUGUAACUUAAAAUUGACAGGUAGUUAUGAAAUGGAUACUGUUAUUUGUUUUAAAGCACAAUACAGUGGUACAUUUUGUCUGAAUGGUCCUGCAAGAAAGCACCAAUCUCCAAACUCGGCAAAGAUUCCCGAACUUUGCACUUCACCAAACAUUCGGAAGAAAAGGAGACCAGUGCGGAAUAGGCACUGGAAAAAGCCUCUCGCUUGUUUGGUGGAAGAUAACUGUUUAAAUAGGAGAACGGAGCUCCCUCCUCUUCCCCUGCCCCAAACCACCCCUCUUUCACACCAUUACCGCUGCCGUAUCGUAUGUAUUGCAUAACCACAAACUGCCGCAUUGGUUUGACUGGGCCAACACAACGGUAGGCUGUACAUUUAAGUAAUUCCCAUUGAACAGAAAUAUCCUGAUAAAUUUUUAAUGCUAGUUUUUGCACUUUUUGUAGCCUCCAUUUGUCAUCUUCUUACCAUCCUUGAUCUAUUCCGCUUCAAUCAACACAAGCAAUUCCCCCAACCCACCCCAGUUCUCUCCACCACCAAACCUCCCUCCCUUUGCAGCCGCUUCCAUAAUACAAAAAGCGUACCGCAACUUCUAAAGACAGAGGGGAUCUUUGAGUAGCAGAGGACUUGCAAUUAAUAGGAAUGAACAGAAAAAGAGGGCGAUUUAGAUCUCAUGGGAUCCUUCGGAUACAAUAUUGCUUUUGAUGGAAUUAAGAGUUGGCGAAAAUGUAAGGGAACGGUUUUUUUUUGACGUGUCGGACUGAGUUGUCCCACAACAUAAAGUGCAGAUCCUUAUUUGAGGUUUUAUUUUCAGAUAGAUUUGGCAAUUUGUCACAUGGAGCUAAUAAUAUAUAUUAUAGUCAGCGAUUUGAUUGAUUCUGGGUGUGAGUGCAUUGCAUUUUAUACCCCUGUUUCGUGAACGUCACAAAUGAACACGACAUCCUAAUGCAAUAAAGCAAUUGACGGUCCCUCUAAGAGAACGCAUUUUAUGUGACUUUUCACAUACCUGAGCUCUUCAUCCAAGGAUAGAUCCGGAAGUUCUCGGACUGGGGGUCUGUCUCUCUUUGCUCCGACUUGCUGCAACUCUGCUUGCAGGAGUCCCCUGCGCCACACAUCAGUGAGGAGAGGUUAUGAUCAAAUGAAGAACAGUGCAUGUUAAAGGAGUUCGCGUUGAGGCCAUAAGGAGACGUGUACAUGGUCGGGGACUGGUGGUGCAGGCUGUUAGCUGUGCUGUACAAACCCGGUACAGUGGCUGCGUAAGAAGCCGACCCAGAGCCAUAGCCCGACCGCUGGGAGUUUGAGGCAAAGGCGCAAGAAGUUGGUUCCGAAAAAACCCCCGAUGGAAAAACAGAAGUUCCAGCUGUAUAUUUCGAAAAUAAAGCAUUCGCAUAAUACAAUGAACUCAUAAUUUGGCUGGUGAUUUGUAGGCCGGGACGUUUCAGUGUCGGUUUUACGAGGUACGGUGAUAUAUUACGGAAUUAGAGUCCAGAUUUACACCAAAAGAACCCCCUUUUUCCUCCCGAUGCACGUGAUAUCGGCACGUGAUAUGGCGGGCCAAUGAGAAUCGGGCUACCCGCGGCUUCUUUGGAUGAUAAAAAAAUUCUCUAAUCAAAA